AUGGGUCAAGGCACCGUGUUGACUGUGACGGAUGAAUGUGAGCAACCCACUGGGGGUGUGAAGGUCUCUUUCCUGCCACCCUCGCAGCAACAGGUUUUAAUGGAGUCCACUGUAACGCUGACAUGUGUCGUGGCCAAUGCACCACUUGACGUCAACGUGACUUGGACACAAGGAAAGACACAUUUACAGUCUGGAUAUGGGAAAACGUCUGCCACUGAGCCUCAGGAAGUGAUCAGUAAAUUAAACGUUUCUACACAAGACUGGAAGAGUGGGAAAGAAUUCUUCUGCCUUGCCAAUCAUGAAGAUAUCCCAACUCCCAUCGGUGAAAAGACAUUUAAGAGGAAAGUUGUGUACACAAAACAACCUUCAGUGUAUCUGCUCCUCCCCUCGGCAGAAGAAAUGGCUGCUCAGCAGUUUGUCACCUUGACCUGCCUGGUGAAGGACUUCGCUCCCAAAGAGAUCUUUGUGCAGUGGACUGUGAAUGACCAGUUGAUUGAUGCCAACAAGUACAGAAACACCGAGGUGAUGGCAGACAGUGAAGAUCUCAACUACUCCAUGUACAGCAUGUUAACCCUCUCAGUCGAUGAGUGGAACAGAAGACCCUCCUACUCAUGUGUGGUGGGCCACGAAACGUUCCCACUGAAGACCCUGACCAGAACCGUAAAUAAAUCCAGCGAUUUCCCAACCGAGAUGAUGCUGAAAGGUUUUCAAGAAGUACCAAGUGACAACCUGUGGCCUACUGCUUCCACCUUCAUCAUCCUCUUCUUCCUGAGUAUUAUGUACAGCGCAGCCGUCACUUUAAUUAAGGCCAAGUUCCUUGUUACUGGGCUGUGUGAAGGUGAUGAGAAUAUCCUCUCCAUUACACACCCUAUCGCACCUGAGAUAUGCUCACCUGGUAUAGACUAG